GACGAACGCUGGCGGCGUGCCUAAUACAUGCAAGUAGAACGCUGAAGGAGGAGCUUGCUUCUCCGGAUGAGUUGCGAACGGGUGAGUAACGCGUAGGUAACCUGCCUGGUAGCGGGGGAUAACUAUUGGAAACGAUAGCUAAUACCGCAUAAGAGUAGAUGUCGCAUGACAUUUGCUUAAAAGGUGCAACUGCACCACUACCAGAUGGACCUGCGUUGUAUUAGCUAGUUGGUGAGGUAACGGCUCACCAAGGCAACGAUACAUAGCCGACCUGAGAGGGUGAACGGCCACACUGGGACUGGGACACGGCCCAGACUCCUACGGGAGGCAGCAGUAGGGAAUCUUCGGCAAUGGACGGAAGUCUGACCGAGCAACGCCGCGUGAGUGAAGAAGGUUUUCGGAUCGUAAAGCUCUGUUGUAAGAGAAGAACGAGUGUGAGAGUGGAAAGUUCACACUGUGACGGUAUCUGACCAGAAAGGGACGGCUAACUACGUG
rnacentral:rRNA from 1 species